rnacentral:rRNA from 1 species
ACUCCUACGGGAGGCAGCAGUGGGGAAUAUUGCACAAUGGGCGCAAGCCUGAUGCAGCAACGCCGCGUGAGUGAUGAAGGCCUUCGGUCGUAAAGCUCUGUCCUCAAGGAAGAAUAAAUGACGGUACUUGAGGAGGAAGCCCCGGCUAACUACGUGCCAGCAGCCGCGGUAAUACGUAGGGGGCAAGCGUUAUCCGGAAUCACUGGGGCGUAAAGGGGUGCGUAGGCGGUUUUUCAAGUCAGAAGUGAAAGGCUAUGGCUCAACCAUAGUAAGCUUUUGAAACUGUUAAACUUGAGUGCAGGAGAGGAAAGUGGAAUUCCUAGUGUAGAGGUGAAAUUCGUAGAUAUUAGGAGGAACACCAGUGGCGAAGGCGACUUUCUGGACUGUAACUGACGCUGAGGCACGAAAGCGU